rnacentral:lncRNA from 1 species
AUUGAAGCAGCAGAUUUCUGGGUCUCUCUUUCCCUUUAGAAAAGACCAUCCUUUCAAACGUGAAGUACAUUGAGCCCAAACCAGUGUGUAUUUCCCAGUUCUCCUUGGAGAUUAGACUUCAGCAAUGACGAGACAGAUGGAAUGAGUCCACAGGCCUCUGCAGGGCUAGACUGCAAAACCACAGACUUCACCAAAGCCCUUUGAGCCAGUGAGCCUCCCAGCAGAGUCCCUGUCCCUCUUUUUUGACUCAGGCCUGGAAAUAUAGACAGGAUCUUUAAGCAUUUGCCAAGCUGCGAAGAGAGAGAUGGGGUCAGGCUGGCCAACCCUCUGAGGUGGCGGCAGAAGAGAAGAUGCCAGCGAACAGCGUGUUUUGCUGCCUCCUCACCUUCAGCCUUUUCAGCAGCUCCCAGCUCAGCGGCUUUCUUCCGUUUUCCUCCUCACUGCACCGAGGACGAUGGUGUUUGAGCAUGCUGAGGGUACUGCAGCGCAGCAUUGCAGGAGAAGAGCAAUGCAAGAGGCUGGGGAGCAUGAGCAGUUGGGAGCCUCGGUGCAAGGUGGCUCUAGAGCUGCCAUCCUGCGAAGGCAAAGGACACCAGUGUACAGAUGUGCAGCACCUGCCAGASUGACUUCCUUAUCUUCAGCUGGAACCUAAGACAAAGAAAAGAAUUUGCUUUAAUGAGCCACUUAUGGAGAAUUUCAUCUCAAUAUUUGCAGCACUAGCACAAGAAAAGUCAGCGCCACGACUUUCCUACCGGGGUUAAGGACAGYGCCCAGAGGAGGUUGGGAGCCUUGAGGUCCUGUGAGUGUGAAGAACAUGUUUAAGUUUUGUUUGUUUGCARGAGAAGAACCUAAUUUGCGUUGCUGCAAAACAAUGAUGCAGAAAACCACAAGAACCCGUCAUUCUGGUCUGGUCCUUGGAUUUUGUCAGAAUUUUUUUAAUGCUCCUUUGCAAUUAAAAUUCUCUCUUGGUUGUCUUCUUGUUAGCAAUGC